AUGUAUUUAUUCAUGAGAGACACACAGAAAGAGGCAGAGACACAGGCAGAGGGAGAAGCAGCUCCCUGCCGGGAGCCUGACGGGGGACUCGAUCCCGGGACCCCAGGAUCAUGCCCUGAGCUGAAGGCAGACCCUCAACCACUGAGCCACCCAGGGACGCCCCUCUGCCCUUUUCUACUCCUGUGACUUGGGACAGACCAUGUGGCUUUUCCAUCCAGAGGUAAAGUUUAGUUUUGCCUUUUGAUGUCCUUUUUAUUUUAAUUGUUUUUUUCUUUCUUCAUGUCAAUUUUAGGAUUCAAAAUAAUUUCUUUCUGAGUUACAAACGAUGGAGGAUGGAAGCGAAAGAUGCUCUCCCUUGCUUGGAUUUCUUCAAAUCACCUUGCUUUGCUUUGGGGCGGGGAGGGGGCUCAGCCUUCCUCACACACCCUGAGAUCCGGGCUCCCUCCAGGAUGAGGCAUGUUUCCUGGGCCUCUGUUGCCAUCUGCAGGAUCAUUUGGGGCUUGGAGCCGGAGACCUGCUGGCGCAGCGUGAAAUGCUUCUCCAGGGAAGAGCGCGGCUCCGAGGACAAGUCGCCCGUGGGCACUGGUGACCAAGGCAGAAAUCUGUCCCUGGACUUCACGCCCAGCCUCAACGGGCUGCCAGUGGAGUCGGAAGAGGGCGCAUUGCUCACCCGCGGCAGACAGACAGGAGCUAGCUAGGAAGCGCUUUCCUUGUGCCCAGCAAGGGCCUAAGUCCACCUUCUUGCUCUCAGCCGUGAUACGAGCUGGUAACGAAUGGAUAAUUCUCCAGGUCAUGUUGUUCUGGGAACGUGUAAGCAAACAAGCUAGCAGGCCAGGACACUUGACGAACUGCUAAUCAGAGGGUCAACUCGACCGUGAGUUCCCGGAGGUUGGUUUCCGCAUCCUCAUCUCCGUUUUAUCUCUGCCGACCGAGACACUGAGACUCUCACCGGCAGCUUCUGGGCAGUGGUUACACAGACCUCGAGGCCGAAGCGAGCAAGAUGCAGCUCAGGCUGCCAGCGGAGCCAAAGUCCUGGGUCCUUCCCAAAGGAAGAUGGACUUUCUCAGAGAUGGGUCUGAGCAAGGGACAAUACAAGUGUUCCAUCUGGACCGUUUUUGCUGUCAACCAGCCAGGGCCAUGAGACUCUGCAAGAUGACCCGAGCUCAUUCUUUCUCUGAUGGAGCCCGGCUCCCCACAUUUUCAGGGACCACACAGUGUUUAGAAUCAAUGCUGCUCAUUCAUUUUUCUGGAGAUAAGUCCUCCAGUGCUUUGAAAUCAAAUGACCCAAAGUAGGCUGGAAAUAUAGCAGGAAGCCAGGAGUUAAGCACCUGUCCACAAUGAUGGGGGUUUCUCCUUAGGGGGUUUGGCAGGUAGACCCCUGUUUCACAACCUCACCUCUAGUCAGAGUGGCUGAGUAUAUUUGUAAAUCUGAGUCCCUUCUUAGUUAAGUUUUUUUUUUUCUUUUGGUAAUGAGUUUGCAAUUUCCCUUCUCAAAAUGGAGACUUCUUUUGAAACCCUUUGCCCAUUUAAAAUUGUUUUGACAGUAAAAAACAUAAAAUGUCAUGUGGGAAAGAUUGCAUUCAUGAUCCUUUCAAAAAGAUAAACUCUGACUUGAUAUGACAACAACAACAAUUGGUGAGAAUGUCCUUCUUAGGCACUUUCGUGAGACCUGUACAUAUUCAGGAUGUGUGCUGUCCAUCGGCGUUUCUCCCCCUCUCUCCAGCCAUAGUCUGUAAGGUGUACAGUACAAGCACACAGCUGUAUUUUUGGUCUACUCUUUGUGCAUAGUGGACAUGAAACGUCCAACAAAUGAAUAAAAAGUAGAAACUCUAAGGGCA
rnacentral:lncRNA from 1 species